rnacentral:lncRNA from 1 species
UCUUCAAAAACCCAAUUAAAACACGGCAUUUUUCUCCCAUUCGUAAGAUUCUCAUCCCUUCUCAAAAACCACUGCGCCUCCUGCCGUUCAUUUUCCUCAACGACCUUUUCUUCCUGAUCUGCCACCAGUGCUGCCAUUCAUUUUCCAGCAAGAACAUCUGUGCUGCCACCAGUCCACCACAACCACCAUCCUCGACUUCGCCCAGCGCCUCAGCUCUAACUCUCCGCCUUCCAUCGUCGACCACGAGCGCUAGUUUCUCACUCUCGUCGUUGCCUCCCAAGACCCAAAUCGAAAUAUUUCUGUAAGGUAAGGAUUCUUCAAAUUAAUACCCGUCCCUGUCUUUAUAGGGGUCUAGUUUCUUGAAAGAAUUGUGUGAUUUAAGCUAUUGAAUGAGUUAGCAUGAAUCCAAUUAAUGCCUAAAAUCAGAUAUUGUUUGGCUAUUUCCUGAUUCGUUAUGUCAUUCAACUUGAUAAUGAAAUUAAUUUUCGUAUUGGCUGUGUUGUUUGAUUUUUGAAUGAAUUAAAUUUAGGUGUUUUCAGUUAUAUCUCUUUCAAGAAAGAUCUUCAACUGUUGAAGGUACUUUUAUUUAUUUCCUUGGUGAAUUGAUUAAAUUGAUUCUUGACAAUGCUAUUUGGAACUUUUACAAGGAACGUUCUGCAAUAUAAAGCUCUAAACAGACUACUUUGAUUGAUUUAUAAGUGGCAAUUUUCUAUGUGGAAUUAAUUUAACAACAGGUAAAUUUAGGUCUUGUAGAGAAAAUAUUGAUUCUUGAUUCGGUUAUUAAACUCAUUAGUUGGAUUAGUUAGUGAGUUAGAAAAUCAAUUAGGAGCCUUUGGUUCUAACUAAUUUUCUGGUAGUUGUUGUAGCUGAAUAUUAGAUGUAUUUUAUUGUAAAUCUCUACAUUCCUAUGCCUGUAAAUAGGAUAGAGGGCUGAGAGCCUGAGAAUGUGAGCAAGUCUGAGAACGUAAGAAUGUGGGGGAACACAUUCUGUAGUUAAGAGAAAGUGAGGUUGAGAGAGAGAAUUCUCUGUAGACAACUUCUGUAACUUUCUGUGUAAACUUUCUGAGAGUUUUCUAGUUGUUCUCGGGUGAGUGAUGAGUGUUGUUGUUGUGUAAUUCAAACACUGUAAUAAUUCCUCUUGUAAUGGCAGAUUGACUGGGGUUAAAUCCCUGCAAGUUGGUUGAUGAAAUUUAGUCCCAAGACUAAGAAAUUCUUGAGUCUAUUUAUCUGAUUCUUUGCUGGUUUUAUGUUCUGCCAUUGCUGUGGUUUCUUUCCUGUCUGUUAAUGCAAAUGUGUGAAUGAUCAUUGUUUCCUAGGACAUGGGAGAUUGGUUAAAAUCCUAACAAGUCUCAUCUAAUAUCACUUGAACAGAAUCUUAGCACAAACCAUUAAGAUUAGUACUUUUUAGUACAUAAGCAGUAUUACAUUACGAGUAAUUGUAGUUACCCAGAGCAAGCAAUGUCCAAGAGCUGUGUUAGCGUAAUACUAGUACCACAAAAAUUUAAAUCCUCCACCAUUUUCAGUAGAAAAUUAACCGAAAUUUGUCAUUCGUAAUGUAAGUUUCUCAUAGAAUAUACGAAAAUGAAGAUAAAAUAAGUAAACUUGUUGAUUGAUUGGUUUGAGGAUUUAUUUUGUUAGUGUUCGUCCACAGAAGAUUUCGAGUUUUUAAAUUUUUGUCUUUCAAAGAUUUAUGAUUUUUCAGAGUAGAAAUUUGAUUUCUAGACAAUAUUUGGAUUAUCACAAAUUGUUGAGAAUUUUUCUCUUCCUUCUGUUCCCUCUCUUCUUUUGUUGUGUCGUGCCAUUAGGCCUCAUGGAAGGUGCAAAGAGAGGUCUAGUUGAGGGGUGUGUAGAUAUAGGGAUGUCAUUUGCUGGUGUUCUUGAUAUGUGUAGCUUAAUAUCGCAACUAUUUUCACUUCUGUUACUGUAAGAACUUUCCAUUUCUUGAUGCGUCAAUCCAAUAGCCAUAACACUAUCUUCAAUCUUUUCAAAAGCAGACAUGAAAGAUUGAAUAUAAAAUCACUUGUUACAGUUCCCUUUAAGUUUAAAUCCUCUAGUAGUGGGCUACUAAAGAGAAGCUUUUUGAGGAUAGAAAAGAAUAGAACGGAAGAUUUUCAGAUUUGGAAGAUGAAAAGAAGCAAGAAUCAAAAUGUCCUUGUUAUUAAAUAGUACAUUUGGAUUAAUAUCAGAACUAGGAGAAAUAACCUCAUUAUCAAAUAGUACAUCAUAGCCAAAAUCAAAGGUUAAAAUCUUUUGCUAUGCCUGCAGUGUUGGGCCUAAAACAAAGGCUUUCUAUUUGUCCAAAUUACACAAAUAAGGAUAAAAUAGGGGACUGAUUUGAAAAUUUUUGGUUUUUGUUAAAUACGUCAAAAAUACAACAUAAAUUAGCGCUUAAAGAAAAAUAUGGCAAUUAUGUGUAAUAUUAUAUUUUUUUUUGGCAAAUUACACUUUAUAUAAUUUCUUUAUAAUAAGUGUAGCUUACAUUUUUAUUUAUUCUAUUGCAUAGUUUAUAAUUUUUUA